GCGCGAACUGCGUGGCUUGAGUGCGCCGGAAGCGGGCGGAAUUCGUGGUGUAGCGGUGAAAUGCUUAGAUAUCACGAAGAACCCCGAUUGCGAAGGCAGCCCGCUGUGGCGCCACUGACGCUGAGGCUCGAAGGUGCGGGUAUCGAACAGGAUUAGAUACCCUGGUAGUCCGCACGGUAAACGAUGGAUACCCGCUGUCCGGCCCGUAUGGUCUGGGCGGCCAAGCGAAAGCGUUAAGUAUCCCACCUGGGGAGUACGCCGGCAACGGUGAAACUCAAAGGAAUUGACGGGGGCCCGCACAAGCGGAGGAACAUGUGGUUUAAUUCGAUGAUACGCGAGGAACCUUACCCGGGCUUGAAUUGCAGGAGCAUGAUUCAGAGAUGAUGAAGUCCCUCGGGACUCCUGUGAAGGUGCUGCAUGGUUGUCGUCAGCUCGUGCCGUGAGGUGUCGGCUCAAGUGCCAUAACGAGCGCAACCCCUCUCCGCAGUUGCCAUCGGGUGAUGCCGGGCACUCUGCGGACACUGCCGCCGCAAGGUGCGAGGAAGGUGGGGAUGACGUCAAAUCAGCACGGCCCUUACGUCCGGGGCCACACACGUGUUACAAUGGCCGGUACAGAGGGCUGUCCGCGCGCAAGCGCGGGCGAAUCCCCAAAUCCGGUCCCAGUUCGGACUGGGGUCUGCAACCCGACCCCACGAAGCUGGAUUCGCUAGUAAUCGCGCAUCAGCCAUGGCGCGGUGAAUACGUUCCCGGGCCUUGUACACACCGCCCGUCAAGCCAUGAAAGCCGGGGGUGCCUGAAGUCCGUGACCGCGAGGGUCGGCCUAGGGCAAAACCGGUGAUUGG
rnacentral:rRNA from 1 species